ACAACUUGCCACAAAUUCUUACUGCUAGUUAUUCUAUUUCCUACAGGUAAUUCAUCUAUAGGAAAUAGAAUAACUAGCAAUUCACCUGUAGGAAGGUAAUUCACCUG